ACACUAUCACUUUGCUUUCUACACUCAUGACUUGCUUCCUCCGCCAGCAUCCUCCUCUGUAGCACGGCGCCUCCUCUGCAGCACGCUGCUCUCCGGCCACGACGAUGCCCGGCGGCCCCCUCCCCCCAACCCACACCACCACCACAACCACCACGGCCUCGCCCCGUCUCGUCCUAUCCCCACCACAGCCUCGCCCCGCCGGCUCUUUUCCCCACGACGACCUCUCCCCACCGGCCCUUAUCCCCACAACGACCUCUCCCCGCGGCCUCCUGUCACCACCGCGGCCUUGCCUCGCCGCCAACCCCGCGGAUCUUCCCUAGAUCGGCUCUACCGACGCCAUCGUAGUGCCCCAGAGCAGAUCGAGAUGUGAGCUGCUGUACACGAUGUGGGAGUAGGCAUCGCGAAUUGGACCGAGCUUCAGUCCGUUGAUGUGCCCGCCGUAAUCAUCGCCCCCCGUGCUUGGCUCACACAGUCGCUCCGGGAAGGAAUUCGCAGCUCGUGUACGUGCUCGGGUGCUGAAGGCGCCUUCGCCACAUUGUCAUUCAUUUCUGAGAUGUUUCUCUUUCUCUAUGUUGGCAUGGAUGAUAUAGAGUAGUGGAAGAAUGUUAGUGAAACACAUAUAGCCCAAUGAAAUGUAUGGCCUUGAGCUCCAUUAUUUAGGCCAGAUCUCAUGAGAGGUGGUAUGUCAAUUGCAUUGGCAUACAAUAAGGCUUGAAGUGGCGGUCGUAACACAGUCGGUUGGGAGGACUCAAUGUCAGAGUCGAUACUAUGGACAUUUUCCUUGUUAGAACCGGCACUAUCUGGUGGUCUUAAUGAAUUUGGAGCAUGAAGUGGAGUGUGAUCCCUCAUUAUCAUAUCAACAGGUAUGUCUGCAUCAUAAUUGUAUGUACAAUGUCAGUUGUUGACACACGAACUAAGGUAUUAUGUUUGACAAGAGAACACAUGACCUUCCGCGGCUGGGGUGUGUCGUUGCUGGGUGACAGCAGACUGCGCACUGGGCCUGUCCACAGUGUCAAAACCUGUCCAAAACACUUACUUAACACGACUUUACUUGUGAUUCAUGAAAUGUUUGAGAAAAUGAAGUAACCAGGCAACAUGGCCACGGGUGGCUUAGAUAGAGUGUUGGCUCCAUUUAGAAUAGCAGACGUAGCUUUCUUAGAUCCCUUGCCUGCUGUCUUAAUGUUUUAGUAUUGCAUCCCUGUUUACCUCUCCCUUUCCCUCUGUCUCUUUACUUCUUUUGGAUCUGUUUUUUGACCUGCGAGGCAAUGAUAUAUUAUGGAUUUACAAGAUUGAAGUAUGUAAGAGUACGUGAUGUAUGUAUUUACCUGAAUUUCCGUUGUUCGUCGGGUCCUGAAAGGGAGUACGUGCCUCACUAUGCUCAGAGGGUGCCAUAUUGUCAACUCAGUUUGUCAUGCAGAUCAUGAUGUACUGUAAGUAUCAAAUUUCACAGUACAAAUAACAGAUUGUCAGAUUAAAAGAGCAAUCUCCUUUUGUCUUCUGCCUGAUCAUCUAUACUUGCUAAUUCAAAUGAUCUAACCUGUGCGCUGGCAGGUCAAAAAGUAGUCAUAUGUCCUCGAGAUGCUGCGGGCCACACAGGGUGAUGACACCGGAGGUAGGGCAGCACGCCGGGUGGAGGACGUCGCGGCCACCAGGGGCGACGGCAGUGUGGCGACGACGGCGGGGCGAGGAGAGGUUGGGAAGCAAGGCGGGUCGAGGAAGGACGUGCACCGGGGUGGAGGACAUCGCGGCCACCAGGGGCUAGGGCGGCGUGGCGGCGGCGGCGGGGCGAGGAGAAGUAGGGCAGCAAGGCGGGUCGAGGAUGUCCACUAGGUCAAGGACGUCGCAGACACCAGCGCUAAUCGCGGCGGUUCCUGGAGUGGUGGCGGCGUAGAUCGCGGAGGUGCUGUUUAAUUCCCAGGAGGUGUCAUCGUGGGGCUAUGUAGCAUCCUGAAAGAGGGAGUCUGUCGACAGAACAUUUGUUGUGAACCGUGUAGUAUGGUUGAUUUAACGUGGACAGUUGGAUGGUACCAAGUGAGUCUGAUCGGACGUGGGGGUUAUCCCGUGUGCA